rnacentral:lncRNA from 1 species
CCCCUCCCACCGUUCGCCUUGACAGCACAGCACGAUGGCGCUCAAAGGAAGUCAAGAGAAUGACCUGUUCCUCCAAGGCCAUCUUCUGACCUCUAGCCCCUCUGCCAAGACAGCACAGGGACAGGGAGCCAGGAAAAGAACGUGCCUCACUCCCAGCUGUCGUCCACCUCCGUUUAGCGGAGCUGCCACCCGGCAAUUACCACGCCUGGGUUCUCCUUUGGAAAAGGAGCACAGGAGAACAAUGCCGCAGCCAGUCCUCCUGGACAAGAAGGCAGGUGAGUCCAGCAUGGAAAAAAAAAUAAGGUAAAUGAUCCCUUUGGCCAUUGUUUCUUUACCGACGGACAAAUCGCUAGCAAGGUGAGCCUGGUUUUAAGUGCUCCUCCCAGACCUUGAACGGGCUGCAAGAAAAAGGGUAAACAACAGCAACAACAAAAUCCAUGCCAG